CUGAUGUGGGGCUCGAUCCCAGGACUCUGAGAUCACAACCCCAGUGGGUCCCACACUUAACCGAUGGAGCCACCCAGGCGCCCCUCAACAAAUAGUUCUUGAGCACCCAUUUAGGGGCAGAGAAAGGCCUGGGGUUGGGAAAACUCUGGAGGCAGGCCAGCCUUAAGAGUCUACUGCACCGGUCCAGGCUAGAGAAGAGCCCGGGGCCUAGGGGGCUUGGCAGGCGUGAGAAGGGGAGAAUGGAUUUCCAGAUUGGCUUGUGCUCUGUGGAGAGUGAAGAGGGUUUCAGCAACCAGGUAAGGAAACUGAGGCUAAGAGCAAAAGUUACUUCAGAACCCAGCUGGUGGCUGAACUGGGAUUUGAACUGAUGAGCAAAGCAGUUCAAGCUUAUCGCUUGCCCCAUCGGGGCCUGCCAGCGGGCUGACCCGGGGAAGGGUUCGGCUGGCCGCCAGCGUGAACUGUGCUGUUUCUGUGGGCGGAGGCGAGGGCCGCAGUGAGGAAGCGGGAGGUCAGGCCUCAGAAGCGGGACAGGAAGUUCAGCUCGGAGGCGGCUACCCUUCCAAGGCCGUUGCCGAUCUGGCAGCUUCAGA